rfam:Capsicum annuum cultivar Zunla-1 unplaced genomic scaffold scaffold31563, whole genome shotgun sequence
CCCGCUGAACUUAAGCAUAUCAAUAAGCGGAGGAAGAGAAACUAACAAGGAUUCCCCUAGUAACGGCGAGUGAAGCGGGAAGAGCUCAAAUUUGAAAGCUGGCUCCUUUAGGUGUCCGCAUUGUAAUCUCGAGAAGCGUUUUCCGCGCUGGACCGCGUACAAGUCCCUUGGAAUAGGGCAUCGUAGAGGGUGAGAAUCCCGUACUUGACGCGGCAGCCAGUGCUUUGUGAUACGCUCUCCACGAGUCGAGUUGUUUGGGAAUGCAGCUCAAAAUGGGUGGUAAAUUCCAUCUAAAGCUAAAUAUUGGGGAGAGACCGAUAGCGAACAAGUACCGUGAGGGAAAGAUGAAAAGCACUUUGGAAAGAGAGUUAAACAGUACGUGAAAUUGUCGAAAGGGAAGCGCUUGAAGUCAGCUAUGUUGUUUGGAAUUCAGCCUUGCUUCUGCAUGGUGUACUUUCCUUGUAACAGGCCAGCAUCGGUUUCAUCGGCCGGAUAAGGGUGGGAGGAAUGUAGCAUCCUUCGGGAUGUGUUAUAGCCUCUUACUGGAUACGGCUCGACGAGACCGAGGAACGCAGUGCGCCCUCACGGGUGGGCCCUCGGGCACCUUCGCACUUAGGAUGCUGGCGUAAUGGCUUUAAGCGGCCCGUCUUGAAACACGG